GUGUGUAGAUUUAUUUUUAUUAUCUGUAUACAACUCCCAAUAUCUCAGAUAAGGUACUCGCUCAAGUAUCAUUGCAAAGUUUUCGACAUGCAACACUGAUUGCGCCAAGAUACUCCAAGCAUAUUCCCAAACCCUCUAUUCGGAAUCAAUUUCAUUUAUCUUUUAAUUUUUUUAACUUUUAAGUUUUACCAUAUGCUUGCAUUGUUUUAUUAUUUUUUUAGUGUGUGUAAAUUUCUUUGUCAAACUUGCGGUUAUGUGUAUUGAAACUGAAUUAUUAUCCAGUCAGGAUAUUUUUGUUGUUGUUGAUAACAGACUCCACGAGGGCGUCAACCCAAUAGAGUUUAUCUAAUUCACACCUAGUUUCAUGGAAGAUGAGGCGGGUCUUUCAGUAUCUUGACCUCAUGUAAAGGAAAACAGGAUAAAAACAAGAUAUCCAAUUAUAUUAAAAGACAUCUUGUUGAUAUAAAUCAUUUGGUUGUAAGUUCCAGUACCAUGGAAAACAAUACAAUGUAACUAGCUUUUUCAAAAAGAGUCGAUAUAUUAUAUAAAAAAAAACAUACAACAUAGUCAGAUCUUUAGAACUCCUAACACGGGUAACAUAUUUUGAUUUCACUAAUAUCUUAUGUUUACUUAUAUAAAUGUGAAGUUAGGUGAAAUAUCAAAUAUCAAAUUAUGUAAUAGAAUAGAGAAUGAAGAUUGAGUCAUAGACAACUUAAGAGCAGAAAGCAUCCGAAGUCCAUCAAUAGGUUUGCAGCCAGAAAAUCCAGCACAAUAAGGCGGGCUUUAGCUGGUAAAGAUUUAUUGUUUGUGUUGUUUAAAAAUACAAAAUGACAUUAUACUAAAGAUAAUUACCACUUGUAUAAACAUGUUCGCAUAAUAUCAUUUAACAUCAGCACAUUAUUUGUUUCGUGACACUGGAGUUGUAUAUUCUGUAUCUUAACACCAUGCCAAUGAGCUUUAUCUUCACAGCUUAUGUCGGAAUAAUAAGUUUAAUUUACUGAUAAACAACAAUAAAGCUUAAUAGAAUUAAUGCAGGGUAUUGUCACCCAAGAACACAGCACUAUUUGCAGUGUUUCCAGAGAAUUUUAGAAAGCAUACAGUGCUUGUAAAUGAUAAUAAGUAAAAUUUGCUAUGAAUCUAAAUUAUUUUGAUAUAUUUUUGGUAUACAGAUAUCAUAUAAAAAUAAUGUUAUCAAUGAUUCAUGAAAAUAAGUUCAAAGUAACAUGCACCCAGCUGUCAAAUUAACCUGUUUCCCUUUUAGGCAUUCCAUACAUAAAUGGUAGUUAACCGGUUGCAAAUACAAUGUAGUAUCAGAAACAAGUAUUAGUUUCACCAACAGUUCGUGAAAAUUGAGUCUAGGCAGGAUAAACCCUGCCAAACGGACAAGUUCAUCUGAUAACUAUUCCAUACAUCCAAUAUAGCUAUAGAUUACAGGAGCAGGAUCUGCAUACCGUUUUGGAGCUUCUAAGAUCACUUCGGUUUAUGAAUGGUUUCGUAUAGUGCAUACUACUCAUUUUUCUUUAUAAUACCAAAAUAUAUCUAAGAUAACAAAAUGCACAACUUUCUUAGUUCAUUUUUCACUAUCUGAAAACAGUCAGUAAUUUCAUUUUCAAAUAUCUCCGCUGAGGUAAAUUAACUAGUCUGAGAGGCUCUCCAGAGCCUGUGUCGCUCACCUGUAUCUUCUGUGGUUUUUGGCAAUCAUGUAAAAUAAGGCCUAAACCAUAAUAAAUAGAAUUAGAUAGUACCCUAAUUAUGAUUCAAGGUGAGCUAAUAUUACAUUAUAACAAAUCAAAAAUACUGCAACCUUCAAAUUUGAUGUUGUCAACAGGUGCCGCAUCACCCCUUUCCUUUCAAUGUAUACAUUAAUUUUCUUGGGUAAUUUUUGUCUGAAAAAGUUAUUUUAGAGAAAAGUAAUAACGGAUAUUUCAAUCGACCAGGAUGGAUUAUAAUUUCGUCCCAUUUACAGUGAAUCAUGUCAAUUCUUCGUUGAUAAAUAUUGACAAGUUCAAUUACACAUAAGUGAGAGACCACAAAACAUUUGUGGUUUAUGUAUAUUGAGAUACAGUUACUGGUUGAACGAUAAAACACGGAUUAAUAACAGUUUUCGUGACUUGAUCGAUUUAUCUGGCACGCUAUCACACACAGGUACAUGUAUCAUUUCAG
rnacentral:lncRNA from 1 species